UAAGCAUUAGCAUUCCUUUCACCACUAAGAAUAUUAAACACCAAAGAGAUAAUUAAACUCUUUGUCAGUUACCAGAACAUCUAGUCUGGAACCUGCUCCACCAAUUCACUAGCUAUAGUUAUCCAGACAGGAGCUUAGCAGGACUGUCCUCUGAGAAGCUCCAGUCAACACCUUACUGAAACAGAUGCCGUGCUCCACAACCAGACAUCUGAUGGAGCUGGAGAAGUCUUGUAGAAGAACUGGAAGGACUGAGGGACCCCACAAGGAUAGGAACGCCACAGGAAGAUCAAGAGCCAACUAGGCUGGACCUCUGGAGCAGGGCCUAUACCUCAACCUGUUGCCUGCUUAUGGAUCCUGUUCCCCUAAUUGGGCUGCUUUGUCUGGCCUCAGUGAGAGAGGAUGCACCUAGCCCUGAAGUGGCUUGAUGUGCCAGGAUAGGGGGUAAUGUGGGGAGGGCUCCCCCUUCUCAGAAGAGGGGAUGGGAGGAACAGCUGUGAGAGAAGGGCACUGGAAGGAGGGGCUGAUAGCAGGAUUAAAGUGAAUAAGUAAACAAAAAAAAAAAGCUGUGAGAUAGUUGAGUGGGUAAAGACACCUGAUGCCAUGCCUGUCAACCUGAAUGCCUGAAGCUCCUAGGACCCAUGUCAUCAUGUUACAAGAGAAAUACUGUAACAAGAUAUCCUCUGACCUUUACAAAUGGGCCCUGGCACAAAUGGUUCCUAUCCCUACCCCAAAUAAAUAAAAUGUUAAAAAAAGAAAAAAAAAAAGGUAUGGUAAGAAAUUUCUGUUCAUUUGAAUUAUUGAAUAUUUUAAAAACCAACAAAGUUUAUUUAAUUUGUAGCGCUAGGAUUGAACCCAAGACUUUGCAUAUGCUAAACAAAUGGUCUGCUACUGAGCAACUCAAUGAAAGUUUUUAUUUAUAUUAUUCAUUAAACAGUUUUAAAAGCUU